CUGGCUUCUUGGCCUUUUGGCUAAGAUCAAGUGUAGUAUCUGUUCUUAUCAGUUUAAUAUCUGAUACAUCUUGUAUCCAGGGACAAUAUAGUAAGUGGGUUUUUUAGAUAUACUAAUU
rnacentral:snRNA from 1 species